CUGAGCCGUCCACGUGGACAGUCGGGUACAAAGAGAACAUCGCGACUCGCUCUCUUCUCUAAACGCGCUGCAGCUUAUCGGGCCAGAAAAAAGCUCGCGAUAGGAUUUAGCAAACAAAAAGUUCUUUGUCAUAAUUAUUCUGCGAAUUAAUUUUUUUUUUUUCUACAGAUACUUACGGUUAAUUAUUCUCUUCGUGAUUAAAAAAAUAAUUAAAUUCUACGACUAACGAUUUUUAAGAAGUUUGACAAUUUUUAAUAAUCACAUUAUUCCAACGCAAUCUUUCGGUAACGAAUCUCAAUCGGUUGAUGCAUAAUAGUUUAAAAAAAUAACAAAUUCAAACAAGUAAUUCGAUUGUUUUGUCGUUUCUUCCGUGCGCAUUUUGUACUGUGAUCUACAUUUUGAAAUUGUCAGCACCUGCGGUUGUUGAAGUGAAAAUCAAAUAUAAAAAUUGACGUGUGAUAAAUUGGAGAUUAUAAAAAAAAAAAAAUUCAACACGAUUGAAUAAAAAAAUUUAUAAAAAAGGAAACAGUGCUCGUGAAGUUUAUUUUUAAUCAAAGUUUCUGAUCUACAAAAAUAUACACAUGCAACACACAUUUUACGUGACAUAAUAUAAGUGAAAAAACAGUUUGGGCCAAGAUUCUGUUCGUUAUACACAGAAUCGUUUUAUAAUUAAUCAUAAAUAAAUACCAAAGAUUACAAAAAUAGCAUGCCAAAUCAAAUAUGGAUGUUCAGAAGCGGCUUGAUCCUCUUCUGUUUAGCCGCCAUCCAAUGGCUGGCACUUGGAAGUCCUGCAAGAGAAAGAAUGAAGAGGGAAACGGAAAUAGCGAACACAAACUGGACGAGCCUUGCUGAUGAGUGGUUACUUGCUAAAGAAAGAAUUGCACGGAGAAUGAGUGUUCCGCUUCUACCUAACAGCAGCGUUAUACGCGAAUUUCAGGACGUACAAGUCGUCAUUAACAGAACAUCUCCCGAACAAAUGUUAAGACUGAACUAUUCGAGAACACUUUGGGAUCUGGAGUCUUCGCAAAAAAGUGGCCACCUAUCUGGUUUCGUCGACAAGGCACUGAAGCUACUGGAUCUUCGAAAAGUCAUGAUGGAGGUGGAGACCUCGGUGAUGUCAAAGGUCUCCUGUACUGCCUGCAAGGUCGGCGCCGGCCUCUUGCAGCACUACAUCAAGAGCGGAAAAACUGACGAGGAGAUCAUGGCCAGCAUUUACCAGUUUUGCAUUUCCCUCAAAAUUCAAAGCGCUCGAGUCUGCCAAGGCGUCACGCUGCUGUUCGGAGGCGAAGUGAUCUACGUUCUGAAGCAAAUCAGCUUGGGCCCCUCCCAGAUAUGCAGUUUUGUGAUUGGGGACGCCUGCGAUGACGCAUACAACCCUCAACACGAAUGGGAAGUGGCUUUUCCCCCGGUGAACAAGCCGCCAAUCCAACCACCGAUCCCUCCAACGGAAGGGGCACCGACCUUCAAGGUCCUUCACAUAUCGGACACUCAUUACGACCCCUAUUACCAGGAGGGCGCAAAUGCUGACUGCAACGAGCCGUUGUGCUGUCGUCUGACCAAUGGAGCGCCUCUUACCGCUUCCGGAGCCGCAGGAAGAUGGGGCGAUUACAGGAAGUGCGAUACUCCCAAGAGGACUGUCGAUCAUAUGCUGAAACACAUUACGGAAACUCACUCGGACAUAGACUACAUAUUGUGGACGGGAGACCUGCCGCCUCACGACGUAUGGAACCAAACAAGGGAAGAAAAUCUGAAAAUUCUACGUGACACUGUGUCGCAAAUGGUAGAAAUGUUUCCUGGAGUGCCGAUAUUCCCUGCGCUUGGUAAUCACGAAAGUGCUCCAGUCAACAGUUUUCCCCCGCCAUUCGUUCCGAGAGAGAACAGCAUAUCAUGGCUGUACGACGAGCUGGACAAGGAAUGGAGAAGAUGGCUGCCAGCUGGAGUAUCGCACACGGUUCGUCGUGGAGCAUUUUACUCUGUAUUGGUCAGACCGGGUUUCAGAAUUCUAUCGGUCAACAUGAACUAUUGCAACAACAAGAAUUGGUGGCUGUUGAUAAACAGCACGGACCCAGUCAGCGAACUCCAGUGGCUGAUUUACGAACUUCAAGGGGCGGAAAUUAACGGAGAAAAGGUGCACAUCAUCGGCCACAUUCCGCCGGGACAUUCCGACUGCCUUAAAGUCUGGUCCAGGAAUUAUUACCACAUCAUUAAUCGUUACGAAUCAACGAUCACGGCUCAAUUUUUCGGCCAUACUCACUACGACGAGUUUCAACUAUUCUAUGACACGACGGAUCUCGGUAGAGCUUUAGGAAUAGCUUACGUCGGGCCGUCUGUCUCCCCAUACAUCGAUCUCAAUCCGGGGUACCGGAUAUACUACGUCGACGGGGAUCACGCUAAAACUACCAGGAUGGUAGUAGAGCACGAGUCCUGGGUGAUGAACUUGAAGGAAGCAAAUCUUUACGACUACCCAAUUUGGCAGAAAAUGUACACAGCUAAACAGGCGUACCAAAUGGCAUCCCUGUUACCCCGAGACUGGGACUCUCUGAUAGACAAAAUGACGAAUGAACCGUCACUCUUCGAUCUUUACUACAAGCAUUAUUACAAAAAUUCACCGGUGAGGCCGGCCUGCAACGACGAAUGCCGCAAAAGGCUGCUGUGCGAUUUGCGAAGCGGUAGAAGCCACGACAGAAAAGCACUCUGCCAGAGCUUAGAGUCGAGAAUAGACGGGGAAACCAGAACGGGAUGGCGAGCCUGGAUCUACAAUGGCUUAGCUUUGUCAUAUGAUAAUGAACGUAAUUAAGCCGGUGAUGGAAAUUCAAUGCGUUUCACCCCAAAUUUAACGGUGAUGGUAGAGGAAUAUCCCAUCGCAAUAUCUACGCACGUAAUCACAAUAAGAUGUCAGUCGUCAUGGCGAUUCCAAGAUUCGCAUACAAUUUACCAAAGUAUGUAUUGGGCUUGGGUUAAAAUCAGCAGAAAGUAUCUGGACAAGCGAUAAAUUGCAAUACAUCCGGCAUCGACGUAAUUUAUUGAAAGAUGUUGUUCGAUUGUUUUACGUGGAAAACUCUUUUCCUCUUUCCUUUUGUUGUGAAAAAAUUUUUUGCGGCCAAUUUAUAUGAAAUAAACAAUGUCCAACAUUAUUUAGAACGAUAUAGUAUUUAUAACGAUAAUAUAGUUAUUUCAAGAAAAUCAAAUAUUAUAUAUAAUUGAUUCGAAUUUUUAAUCCGUUCAGCUGGCGUGAAAAAAUCAUUUACUGUAUAUGAACACGGAAUAAAAAAGUUGCAAAAACGAUGAAUAAAGAGAAAGGAAUGGGUUAAGGAAUCUAGAAAACAAUUAUUAAAUUAAUUUACCAAUUCAUUAUGUACGACGUGACAAGUCUUUACGAAAAAUCAUUGAAUGAUUAUUUUUCUAAUUUCCACGUAUGGGUAUGUGUGGAGUAUAUUUGUAUUAUAAACAUUAAAAAACUUGGAUCUUGUCUUGUGAAUAAAUGAAAAGAAUAAAAAUAUAUAUAUAUACAUAUAUAAGUGAUAUUAUAUUAUACGUAUAAAAUAUAUAAUGUAGCAAUUCAGUUGAUUAGUGAUAAGAAUGAUAAAAAACAAUGAAGAUAAUAAUUUUAUAUUCAUACAACGUAAAGAGAUUCAGAAAAACUGACCUCGCUCAUUGUUUCCCGUGCAUAUAAACUACAUGGGUAUAUAGCCGAUUAAUAUGAAAUAUGUUAUAUGGUACGGAUUACAAAAAAUUCAAAUCAUUAUGACAAGUAAUGUGUAAAAAAUAUUACGAAAUGUAGUUAAUGGUAGAAGUACUUCUGAUAGAAAUAUAACGAAUUAUACGUUUUAGGGAUACAAUAUACUAGUUGUAUAGUUGACAUAGUAUUUAAGCGUAUCAGUUAAUUUUUUAUCACAGCCAUCAUACAUAUAAAUGAGUAAUAAACAUAACCAAUUAGUAGGUUGUAUGUUAGACAAUAAAAAUGUGUAUAUUAUAUACAUAUAUAU